AGAGUUUGAUCAUGGCUCAGAACGAACGCUGGCGGCAGGCCUAACACAUGCAAGUCGAACGAGCUGGGACCUUCGGGUCCCGAUGCUAGUGGCGCACGGGUGAGUAACACGUGGGAAUCUACCCAAUAGUACGGAAUAACUGAGGGAAACUUUGGCUAAUACCGUAUACGCCCUUCGGGGGAAAGAUUUAUCGCUAUUGGAUGAGCCCGCGUCUGAUUAGGUAGUUGGUGAGGUAACGGCUCACCAAGCCGACGAUCAGUAGCUGGUCUGAGAGGAUGAUCAGCCACACUGGGACUGAGACACGGCCCAGACUCCUACGGGAGGCAGCAGUGGGGAAUAUUGGACAAUGGGCGCAAGCCUGAUCAAGCCAUGCCGCGUGAGUGAAGAAGGCCUUCGGGUUGUAAAGCUCUUUCGGCGGGGACGAUGAUGACGGUACCCGCAUAAGAAGCCCCGGCAAACUUCGUGCCAGCAGCCGCGGUAAUACGAAGGGGGCUAGCGUUGUUCGGAAUUACUGGGCGUAAAGCGAACGUAGGCGGUGUUCCAUGUCAGAGGUGAAAGCCUGGGGCUCAACUCCAGAAUUGCCUUUGAAACGGGAACGCUUGAGUCCGAGAGAGGAUGGCGGAAUUCCUAGUGUAGAGGUGAAAUUCGUAGAUAUUAGGAAGAACACCGGGCGAAGGCGGCCAUCUGGCUCGGUACUGACGCUCAGGUUCGAAAGCGUGGGGAGCAAACAGGAUUAGAUACCCUAGUAGUCC
rnacentral:rRNA from 1 species